rnacentral:rRNA from 1 species
GAUGAACGCUGGCGGCGUGCCUAAUACAUGCAAGUCGAGCGAACGGACGAGAAGCUUGCUUCUCUGAUGUUAGCGGCGGACGGGUGAGUAACACGUGGAUAACCUACCUAUAAGACUGGGAUAACUUCGGGAAACCGUAGCUAAUACCGGAUAAUAUUUUGAACCGCAUGGUUCAAAAGUGAAAGACGGUCUUGCUGUCACUUAUAGAUGGAUCCGCGCUGCAUUAGCUAGUUGGUAAGGUAACGGCUUACCAAGGCAACGAUGCAUAGCCGACCUGAGAGGGUGAGCGGCCACACUGGAACUGAGACACGGUCCAGACUCCUACGGGAGGCAGCAGUAGGGAAUCUUCCGCAAUGGGCGAAAGCCUGACGGAGCAACGCCGCGUGAGUGAUGAAGGUCUUCGGAUCGUAAAACUCUGUUAUUAGGGAAGAACAUAUGUGUAAGUAACUGUGCACAUCUUGACGUUACCUAAUCAGAAAGCCACGGCUAACUACGUG